rnacentral:rRNA from 1 species
UACGAAGGGGGCUAGCGUUGCUCGGAAGCACUGGGCGUAAAGGGUGCGUAGGCGGGUCUUUAAGGCAGGGGUGAAAUCCUGGAGCUCAACUCCAGAACUGCCUUUGAUACUGAAGAUCUUGGGUUCGGGAGAGGUGAGUGGAACUGCGAGUGUAGAGGUGAAAUUCGUAGAUAUCAGGAGGAACACCGGUGGCGAAGGCGCACACCUGGCCCGAUACUGACGCUGAGGCGCGAAAGCUAGGGGAGCAAACGGG